rnacentral:rRNA from 1 species
UACGUAGGGUGCGAGCGUUAAUCGGAAUUACUGGGCGUAAAGCGUGCGCAGGCGGUUUUGUAAGCCAGAUGUGAAAUCCCCGGGCUUAACCUGGGAAUGGCAUUUGGGACUGCAAGGCUUGAGUGCGGCAGAGGAGACUGGAAUUCCUGGUGUAGCAGUGAAAUGCGUAGAUAUCAGGAGGAACACCGAUGGCGAAGGCAGGUCUCUGGGCUGACACUGACGCUCAUGCACGAAAGGCGUGGGGAGC